rnacentral:rRNA from 1 species
CGGACGGGUGAGUAACACGUGGAUAACCUACCUAUAAGACUGGGAUAACUUCGGGAAACCGGAGCUAAUACCGGAUAAUAUUUUGAACCGCAUGGUUCAAAAGUGAAAGACGGUCUUGCUGUCACUUAUAGAUGGAUCCGCGCUGCAUUAGCUAGUUGGUAAGGUAACGGCUUACCAAGGCAACGAUGCGUAGCCGACCUGAGAGGGUGAUCGGCCACACUGGAACUGAGACACGGUCCAGACUCCUACGGGAGGCAGCAGUC